rnacentral:rRNA from 1 species
CAGUAGCCACGGUAAUACGUAGGUGGCAAGCGUUAUCCGGAAUUAUUGGGCGUAAAGCGCGCGUAGGCGGUUUUUUAAGUCUGAUGUGAAAGCCCACGGCUCAACCGUGGAGGGUCAUUGGAAACUGGGAAACUUGAGUGCAGAAGAGGAGAGUGGAAUUCCACGUGUAGCGGUGAAAUGCGUAGAGAUGUGGAGGAACACCAGUGGCGAAGGCGACUCUCUGGUCUGUAACUGACGCUGAGGAGCGAAAGCGUGGGGAGCGAACAGGAUUAGAUACCCCGGUGUCCAUGUCUCUUAUACA